GUGCCAGCCGCCGCGGUAAUACGAAGGGGGCGAGCGUUGCUCGGAAUGACUGGGCGUAAAGGGCGUGUAGGCGGUUCUAUGCUGUCAGAUGUGAAAUUUUCAGGCUUAACCUGAAACGUGCAUUUGAAACGGUAGGACUAGAGUUCUAGAGAGGAUAUCGGAAUUCCCAGUGUAGAGGUGAAAUUCGUAGAUAUUGGGAAGAACACCGGUUGCGAAGGCUGCUAUCUGGCUCGACACUGACGCUGAGGCGCGAAAGCGUGGGGAGCAAACAGGAUUAGAUACCCUGGUAGUCC
rnacentral:rRNA from 1 species